rnacentral:lncRNA from 1 species
CUCUGCCUACUUCAUAAUGGAGCCUUUUUCUUGUCCAUUUUGAUGACCUCUCAGAGCAGGGCUCUGACACGUUACUGGGUUACAAAGACCCCUCCCUGCCAGGGCCAGCGUGCAGCACAGUGUGCUUUUGAGUUCCGGUGAACGGGGUGCUCUGGCUGGAGCCUAGUGCGAAGUUUCCCCUUCUCCGCCCAUUCCUCAUCCCUCAGGGCACACAGGUCACCUUUCCUCGCCUUCUCGUCCCCACCUCUAAGGCUUGGCCAAAGUUUCUUCAUAAAAGCAAGAAAGAUAACGAAAGAGCCCCCCAUGGGUUAUGGUUUUUGUGGGGCCAGGAAUGCCCAGUUUGAACCUCCAGUUCCGCCACCUGUAGCCGAGUGAAAGAGGCUGGGUUAUUCAGACACCCCAAGCCUCAGUUUCCCCACUUGUUGUGAGGCUUGAGUGUGCUAACACAUCAAGGCAACCCAGAACAGCGCUUGGCAGAGACUCGCAGUUUAUCACUGUGAACUGUCGUUAUUGGAAAGUGGGUGGAGUCGGGUUUGGAUUCCCCCAGGAGCAGAGACAGAAACAAAAGGAUUCAAGCCAGGCAUGAUGGCUCGCACCUGUGGUUUCAGCUGUUCCGGAGGCCAAGGCAGGAUGAUAACUUGAGCCCAGGAGGUCAAGGGGUCAAGGCUGUAGUGAGCCAUGAUCCUGCCACUGCACUCCAACCUGGGGGAUAGAGUGAAAUCCCGUCUCUGAAAAAAUAAAUAAAUACAUACAUAAAAAA